GACGAACGCUGGCGGCGUGCUUAACACAUGCAAGUCGAACGGUGAUGACAGGGCUUGCCUUGUCUGAUCAGUGGCGAACGGGUGAGUAACACGUGAGUAACCUGCCCCAGACUCUGGGAUAACCCCGGGAAACCGGAGCUAAUACCGGAUAUGACCCUCGGACGCAUGUUCAGGGGGUGGAAAGUUUUUCGGUCUGGGAUGGGCUCGCGGCCUAUCAGCUUGUUGGUGAGGUAGUGGCUCACCAAGGCGACGACGGGUAGCCGGCCUGAGAGGGCGACCGGCCACACUGGGACUGAGAAACGGCCCAGACUCCUACGGGAGGCAGCAGUGGGGAAUAUUGCACAAUGGGCGAAAGCCUGAUGCAGCGACGCCGCGUGAGGGAUGACGGCCUUCGGGUUGUAAACCUCUUUCAGCAGGGAAGAAGCGCAAGUGACGGUACCUGCAGAAGAAGCACCGGCUAACUACGUGCCAGCCGCCGCAGUAAAAC
rnacentral:rRNA from 1 species